GACGUGCUCGGUGCUGUUAUGGCUUCCAGCGGUGUGACGGUGAGCGCCGCCGGCUCGGCCGGUGAGAACUCCGAGGUUCCAGACAACGUGGGAGACUGGCUUCGCGGCGUCUACCGCUUCGCCACCGAUCGGAACGACUUCCGGAGGUAAUCGAACCUGACCCCUCUCUGGUCCUCAUAAACUUAAACUUGUAUUUCCCUACUUAGUGAGUCUGGCAUGCAUCCCCAGGGGUUUUAUCUCAUUGAGAAGAGUGGUUUCGUGGUGGCAAAAGCCAUCUAUCACGUGGCUUUCAAGGUAUGUCGCCCUGGGUUGCAACAAUAGUUCAGCUGCCAGGCCUGAGGACAUGAGUUCAAUCCAUGGGGCUGGUAGGUUGGAAAAGACCAACUAACUCCUCCGGGUUUGUACUGACCUGCACAUAUGCAUUGUGUCACGUGCACGCGCGCGCACAUACACAAAUUUUUUUUUUUUUUUUUUUGGAGCUGGGGACCGAACCCAGGGCCUUGCGCUUCCUAGGUAAGCGCUCUACCACUGAGCUAAAUCCCCAGCCCCUAAAGUAAUAUUUUUAAGAAGUCACUCUGACCUAAAAAGCAGGGAAGGGGUUUCGGCGCAUAAACAGAUUUUAGCCCCAGC
rnacentral:lncRNA from 1 species